rnacentral:rRNA from 1 species
GAUGAACGCUGGCGGCGUGCCUAAUACAUGCAAGUCGAGCGAACAGACGAGGAGCUUGCUCCUCUGACGUUAGCGGCGGACGGGUGAGUAACACGUGGAUAACCUACCUAUAAGACUGGGAUAACUUCGGGAAACCGGAGCUAAUACCGGAUAAUAUAUUGAACCGCAUGGUUCAAUAGUGAAAGACGGUUUUGCUGUCACUUAUAGAUGGAUCCGCGCCGCAUUAGCUAGUUGGUAAGGUAACGGCUUACCAAGGCAACGAUGCGUAGCCGACCUGAGAGGGUGAUCGGCCACACUGGAACGGAGACACGGUCCAGACUCCUACGGGAGGCAGCAGUAGGGAAUCUUCCGCAAAGGGCGAAAGCCUGACGGAGCAACGCCGCGUGAGUGAUGAAGGUCUUCGGAUCGUAAAACUCUGUUAUUAGGGAAGAACAAAUGUGUAAGUAACUAUGCACGUCUUGACGGUACCUAAUCAGAAAGCCACGGCUAACUACGUG